UAACGCGUAAGGAAUCUGCCUAUAAGAGGGGAAUAACAGUGAGAAAUCAUUGCUAAUACCGCAUAAGCUCUGAAUAUCGCAUGAUAAAAAGAGAAAAGGAGAAAUCCGCUUAUAGAUGAUCUUGCGUCUGAUUAGUUAGUUGGUGAGGUAAAGGCCCACCAAGACGAUGAUCAGUAGCCGGACUGAGAGGUUGAACGGCCACAUUGGGACUGAGAUACGGCCCAGACUCCUACGGGAGGCAGCAG
rnacentral:rRNA from 1 species